AUUGAACGCUGGCGGCAGGCCUAACACAUGCAAGUCGAACGAGUGGGGGAAGGGUGAGUAAUGUAUGGGAAACUGACCGGUGGAGGGGGAUAAUUACUGGAAACGGUAGCUAAUACCGCAUCCCAUCGGAUAUGCCCCGGUGGGAUUAGCUAUUAGGUGGGGUAACGGCUCACCGAGGCGACGAUCCCUAGCUGGUCUGAGAGGAUGAACAGCCACACUGGAACUGAGACACGGUCCAGACUCCUACGGGAGGCAGCAGUGGGGAAUAUUGCACAAUGGGCGCAAGCCUGAUGCAGCCAUGCCGCGUGUAUGAAGAAGGCCUGCGGGUUGUAAAGUACUUUAAGCGAGGAGGCGUUACUCGCAGAAGAAGCACCGGCUAACUCCGUGCCAGCAGCCGCGGUAAUAC
rnacentral:rRNA from 1 species